rnacentral:rRNA from 1 species
AACGAACGCUGGCGGCGUGGAUAAGACAUGCAAGUCGAACGGGAUUAUUUUUGUAGCAAUGCAGAAAUAAUUCAGUGGCGAACGGGUGCGUAACACGUGGGCAAUCUGCCGAAAAGUGGGGGAUAGCUCGCCGAAAGGCGAAUUAAUGCCGCAUGUGGUGAGGGACGACAUCUUCCUGAAUCCAAAGCCGGGGCAACCUGGCGCUUUUUGAGGAGCCCGCGGCCUANC